GCCCUGCUGAAAAACGCCUGUGUCGGUUCGGCCGACGCCAUUAACACGUUUUCGUCCAGUUUUGUUUGUUGUUGUAAAAUGUACACCCCUGUGCCCGCUCUGAUUGUUAGACAAGCCAUUAUUCUUGGCUGACAGCGCUCAGCUCCCGCUCCUCUGCCAGCCGGCCUACAGGCGGAGAGAGAUGAUGACGGUAAAGCACACGCUCGACUGCGGAUGAAAGAACCGACGUUAAACUACAGCUCAGUUCUACGGGUGCAGACAGGGGACAAAAAGGACGUUCACCUGCAGUACUGAGAGCAGGCCAUCAGGCUGCUAACUGUUCCCAGAGUACGAACUUGAACAUGGACAAGCAGCAUUUAGAUACUCAAACAUCCAGAAAACAGAAGACUUGCUUCGACCACCUUUAAAUCCAUGUUAAGAAUUUGUAUGUUCUUAAUCUUUAUGGUAAAUGGUCUGCACUUGUAUUGGGCCUUUCAAGUCUUCCGACCACUCAAAGUGCUUUCAUACUACGUCACGUUUUUUAAUACGUUUUUGAUGCAUUAUGUAA